GUCUAUAUGAGAGGUAUAUAAAGUCUGGCCUGCCCACUGAUUUAAGUUAAAGGGCCGCGGUAUUUUGACCGUGCGAAGGUAGCAUAAUCAUUAGUCUUUUAAUUGAGGGCUUGUAUGAAUGGUUGGACAAAAAAUAAGCUGUCUCGGUCGUAUAUAUUGAACUUAACUUUUGAGUGAAAAGGCUCAAAUAUUUUAGGGGGACGAUAAGACCCUAUAAAGCUUUACAAUUGUUUAAUUAGAUUGUAAAUUGUUUAUUUAACAUAAUUUAAUUAAUGCUUGUUUCGUUGGGGCGACGGAAAUAUAAUUAGUAACUGUUUUUUAUAAAAAACAAUUAUUUUUGGUAAAAUGAUCCUCUAUUAGAGAUUAAAAGAUCAAGUUACUUUAGGGAUAACAGCGUAAUCUUCUUUGAAAGUUCAUAUCGACAAGAAGGGUUGCGACCUCGAUGUUGAAUUAAGGUUUCUUUAUGGUGCAGCAGUCAUAAUGAGAGGGUCUGUUCGACCUUUAAUCCCUU
rnacentral:rRNA from 1 species